rnacentral:rRNA from 1 species
GGGAACGUACCCUUCGGUUCGGAAUAACUCAGGGAAACUUGAGCUAAUACCGGAUACGCCCUUUUGGGGAAAGGUUUACUGCCGAAGGAUCGGCCCGCGUCUGAUUAGCUAGUUGGUGGGGUAACGGCCUACCAAGGCGACGAUCAGUAGCUGGUCUGAGAGGAUGAUCAGCCACACUGGGACUGAGACACGGCCCAGACUCCUACGGGAGGCAGCAGUGGGGAAUAUUGGACAAUGGGCGCAAGCCUGAUCCAGCCAUGCCGCGUGAGUGAUGAAGGCCUUAGGGUUGUAAAGCUCUUUUGUCCGGGACGAUAAUGACGGUACCGGAAGAAUAAGCCCCGGCUAACUUCGUGCCAGCAGCCGCGGUAAUACGAAGGGGGCUAGCGUUGCUCGGAAUCACUGGGCGUAAAGGGCGCGUAGGCGGCCGAUUAAGUCGGGGGUGAAAGCCUGUGGCUCAACCACAGAAUUGCCUUCGAUACUGGUUGGCUUGAGACCGGAAGAGGACAGCGGAACUGCGAGU